GGUUGCAUAGUAUAUCGGUUAGUACGUCAGAUUCUGAAUAAAAGAGGCCUUAGCUUUAAAAAAGUGACUUCUGAAGAGUCCGGUUCGAUUCCGGGUGCGACCU